rnacentral:lncRNA from 1 species
GUGCGAGUGAUGUACCAAAAGGUAUGUAGAGAUAUAUACAAUUCUGUCAUUAAGCUCUUCCAAUUCAGACUUUUGGAUAUUGGAUACCGCUCGUGGUUCUCAUAUUUGCAAGUCAUUACAGGGGCUGCAAAAUAUUAGAGUGCUAAAGAAGGGUGACUUCGAGCUCUACGACGCUGGAGGAGAGUCCAUCCAAACAGAGGCUGUAGGGA